GCUCAUGAGAGUCAGAUCAAAUCCAGAGGAAGAGAAGAGGCAAGAGUCCAGCUGGGAGUCCUGCUAUUCACUGAUUCACAAUAGAAAUGUCGAUAAAAUAUGAAUCUUCUGAAGUGUAGGCAAGUCUCCAGCUUGGAAUGAAGUCGCAAAGAACCGAUCAAUGCCAACUGAAAUCCAAGGUCAAGUUGUUGUUGACUUCAGUAGAUACCAAAUCCAAAAAUGCACAGCACUACCCCAGUGUUACAGUUUGAGCAGUGUCCUGUACUCUGGUACUUAAGUUUCAAGAUUAACAGAGCCAGCUGAAAGAAAGUGAAAACUCGUUCCUGAGUAGGAACAUACUGUGCAUUAAAGGUGACAGAAGAGACCCAGAAGGAAGAGUGCAACUAUUUCAGCUUUGCCAAAGACAUCUGGGAUUAGAGUACUAAAGUGACGUGGUAUGGAGUGUCUCUAGGGCAGGGAAGAAUCCAAAGGCAAGCAUUUGAGGUAUGCGGAUGAAGAGGAUAGAAACUAUUCCUAUGGAAGAUGCUCCCCAUUGAUGACUUGACAUUAGCACUGAUCCACCAUUCAGUUGGAUAGUCCCGAAAAACUCUUCAGGAACUCAUGGAGGAUUUUUUUUUUUAUUAUUAUUUUUGAAGCCUAUCCAAAGAUUUGCUGUGAACCACACUUCCAGGAGCUGAUGUCAGCAAAUAAAGAAACGGUGGUUUUAGACUUGAGCAUCUAAAUUCUCAUUAUUCCACAGACUGGAAUUUCCUGAGUGGAGCCUGUUUCAUUACCUCUGGGAAAAAGCUGCCAGUCAGGGUUGUGACAGGAGUCAGCAGAGUUUGCCAUGAGCAACAAGGGAGCAGAAAGUUCAGCUCUUUGGGAAGACUGUUUCCUGCAGCAUCACUUCAAUAUCCACCUUCUUUUAAUUUCCGUUAAUGAAUGCAGCCGUGAUGGAAAUGUACAGAAAGAGAUGGCCCUGCAGUGAUGCAGACAGAAUAUGGUAAGGGCAAAUAGCUCUAAGGCAGCAAGAGAGGAAGUCUAUUGGGCAAAGUUGCUGUGCUAAUUCACCAUGGAGCCUAAGAUAAAGGGAGGUGGUGGUGGGGAAAGGGUAAAACUGGAAAAUUCAAAUGAGUUUAUAAAUAUUAAGGAAUGCCCAACUUACAAGGUCAAAACACACAACAAGGAAUACAAGCUACAGGAUAGUGAAUUUUAAAGCUUAAUUUUUAAUAUAUUAUGUGGGUUUGGGAUUCAAUUGGACAAGCCUUUUGUGCUAGAUUUACUGCAUUGAACAUAUGACUGAAAUACAUGUGUACUAUCUAAUAUGCUGCUUCUCUCAAAACAGUAAUUCAAGAUGAAUCUCAUUAAAAACCCUCUUUCUGAACAGACAAACAAAGUGGUAAUGUAUUUUUAAUGAGGCGAGGUGAUUUCUUGCUGUGCGAAUGUGCAGAGACCUAUAAAACUGAAGUUUUUUUUCCACCAUGUGAGGAUAAUCAUGAGUGUUUUUCAAUGCAUCAUUGUCCUAUUUACUGGUGAGACUGACCUAGUGAGCUACAUAUAAGAACUAGGACUCCUCUUCCAAUAAAAAGAUGGCAGCCAUCAGAAUUGGGGAGGAUUUCCUGAGGUUUCACCAUGCUCUGAAUAGUUUGUCAUGUAGAUUCCCAUCUGGAAAUUCAAGAUGGUGGAAGAUGCUUAUGGCACAAGGAAAAAAGUAAAGAUGCCAGAUGAUACGAACCCUCAGCAAUCUCUACAGCCAGAUGAGUCACACUCGUUGCCAUCCACAACAGCACUCUCCAAGGCCUGUGAAACAAUAAGCAAGUCUUACGAGGAGCAGCUGAGGGAGCUGGGGUUCUUCAGCCUGAAGAGGAUUCUCAGGGGUGACCUUAUCGCACUCUACAGGACCCGUGGAUCAUUAGCUCAAACCGUACCCUUGGAAGUCCUGAUCUGUCCAUUCCAAGUGGGAGAUUGUGUUUUGAUGCGAACACGGAGAGACUCGAAGCUGCAACCGGAGUGGGACGGACUGUUCCGAGUGCUCCUGACUACUGAGACAACAAGUGAUCUCAGUCAUUGUGAACUGGAUUCUGUCCGGACGAAACUCCAUGGGAAGACACGCUGCAGGAGCUGAAAUACUGCACUCCAGCUGCGAAGUGGCAGGCAGCAGCCCAUGGGGCUAGGCUGAAGUAAAACCACUACAAUACAGGCCCAAUGGGGCUGCCGGGUCCUUGGCACCAGCUGUUUUUAUCUACAGAUCCACUCUUGUUUGUCUACCUGCUAACAUAGAUGUAGCUCCACUGCUUGCCAACUGCAUGCUAAUCACCAUGACUAGUAUUUCUUGCAUAUGCUCAUUCUUUCUUUUUGUCUGCCUCUCACAAAAUCAGGCAGUGGCUGCUGCUAACUAGCACAAGGCAUUCUCUCUCUUCAGUGCCUGAGCAAUCUGUCUCUGUGGUCUUCCCAGCCUUUAUGAGCCCAAGGAUUUGGAAAAUAAAACUCAACUAAACCAAACUAAAUCAUAUUGUACAGAACAAAGCAGAGACAGAUCUUUGGCUGGACCUUACAGUUCAGAAAUACAAUAGUGUGCCUAUAACUCUGAUAUGUGAAAAAAUAAAUGCUUCUCUCAGCUGACAGUUUUUUUUUUUACUCUAGUUUUUCUUUCAAUAAAUAAUACUGAGUUAUUGUAGAUGCAUUUUCAGAUGGAGAAGAAUGAAGCAAAAUUAAGAGGUAUUGAAUAUCAAAACAUCACUUUAGCUAAGCAGCAGAAUGUUUAGAUCCUUGCUGAAAGCUUACCUGAGCUACCGGAAGCUCCUUGACUCUGCAGAAUCAUGCAAUACAUUUUAAAGCAAGUAAAAUAUUAGGCACUUCAGCUGCCAGGAAUAUCCCACCAGGAAAGAGAGAGAAUGGGGAGGAAAGUCCUUGCAUCAUUUCAGGACCUAGAAGGGUGAUGCUACAGGCAGAUGACAGUGGUACUGAUGUUGAUUUAUUUAAAUUUUCCUUCUACAAAAUUUGAUUAUAUAUCACUAAUGUUUCUCAGUAUAGCUAGCUUCUAUUCUUUUUAAUCAAAACAUAUGUCUAUAUUCAAAAGUAUUCUGAAACUGCAGUUUUGUGCAUGUUUUUGAAAAUCAUUAUGGACAAUUAUGUGUACAAAAUAUUUAAUUGCAUGUACACAUGGACAAUUUCCACCGUUUGCAUGUAAGCACACAUCCUUAAGUGUUUGUGAGAACAAUCAUAACGUUUGGACAUAAUUUAUUAGAUGGACAAUUACACAAAUCAAUUACACAAAUUCUAUAUUUGUAUUUUAAGUGUGUCCCAUAUUUUUUCUACAUUCUGUGUAAUAUUUGAUCAACCAAUUAAGAAACAUGAAGAUUAAAAUUCACGAGUUUCUGGAAGCAUGCCUCUUACACUUAAUUAGUGAUUGCUGAAGAAAAUGAUCUGAGAAACAUCAUACUGAAUAAUGGCAAAGAUCUACACAGCAAUAAAAAUGUUCUGCACAAUGUUUAAAUUCAAUUCACUGUCACUGGUAAACAAACAGGUAAAGCAAAAUACAGUAUUUUGCAUUCUGUCAGGGUUUAAUUUUAGAGUUUUAUUUACGAACACUACAACUCAAUUAAAGAAAAGAGUAAGUGUCAUAGUAGGAAGGUGUAGUAAUGCAGGUUUUUUACAGCCAUGCUGUAAUGUCUUCAGUGCAUAUUAAAUAUUUAAACAUGUAUACCAUACAUUAAAAAUCUGACAGAGCAGCAGAGGAUAAAAAUGCAGCACUCUUGGAAUAAAGAUUUCAGAUACAAUACAGGGCAUGAAAGCAAGGUAACUGAGUAACUGUGAAUCAUCCUACUAAGAUGCUGAAAAUGUUCAAAGGGUUAAGGAUGGCAAAUCACAUUUUGUUGCUAUGUGCAGCAAGGAUAAAAAUCUCCCGGAACCCCCUUUAAUAGGUGAAAGGUGGUCUGAGCCAAAACGCACAUACUGACGUCCAACCCUUCCCCAGAGAAUCAAUGAUGUUUUUUUGUGUGUGAUCAAUGUAAUAUUCCACGGCUAAAUUUAGGGAUUCUGCAUCCUAUGAAAAUGGCACCUCUCUAUGACUAAUUAGCAAUAAAAAAUGUGGUUUUCUACAGGUUUAAUUAUUUAAUCUCCAAGGUUUUGAUUAACUUAAAUCUUUUUAGGAAGGACAAAAAAGUAUAUGAAAAAAAAAUGAAUUUCUAAUGUUGUUUAUUCAGAAGGGAUUCUGUAAUUUUCCCUAGUCAGCUUGUAAGAUUACACCAUCUUUGCUGUUAACUCCCCUAACCCAAGCAACAUGCAGUGUGAGACAGACUGCUAAUAAACCCGUUUUACUGUGUCUGUGUAUUAUUUGGCUAAAUUACAAACUAUGCCUACAUAACUUCUCCUUCUUAUUUUGCAAUAUUAAAGCAUUUUUAAUAAAAGAGAUCAUAACAUUCAGAGUUUGAUUUUGAUGUGUUAGAAGAAAGCUGAAAAGUUAAAAACAGAUGUCUUUAGCCACAUUGACAAAAACUGUUUGGGGCAUAUUUUAUAAUGCAAACAGAUCUUUACACCCAGGUCCACUCACUUUUCAGAACUGGCACAGCAUUUGUUUUUACAAGUCACAGUGUCGCUUCCACCAAAGUCAGGGAGAGUUUUGUCUGAUAACAGUGGGGCCAGAUUCUACUUUUAAUAAUUCAUUUGGCACCCAGGCUGAAGUAGCUUCAGUGGGUGGGUAUUGUGCAAAGGAUGAAAUAGGAAAUAGACACUUUCACCAUAGAAACUUCCAUUGUAAACCCUGUUUUCUCAAAGCACUCUGAAUAUUCUUGCUUUCAGGCUAUUGCUUUACCCAAAAGCACAUAACAGAAAUCAUUUAAAUGAAGACUUAAAGGAAGAAACUGUCCCAAAUUUCAGGAAUAGGAGUUUGAUUCUCAGCUCUGCCACCAUACGCAACACCCUUAUGGCUCAAAUUAGAAACAUUAACAAGAGAAAUUAGCAGACAAGGAGAUUUUUGAGAUUCUUACAUUUUGUGUUACAGAGAGGAAAAUCCGGUGAAAGUCAGCUAAUGAAAACAUAGUCUGCUCUCUUCCUCAUUUUUUCCUCAACCUCAUAUCCCCCAUUUGUAAAAUGGAAAAUGUAGCUACAAUAUGGAAAUGAAAUCUUUGAUACCAUGUAUUGUUCUCAGUAGUGUGACUA